AUGCCAGAGAAUUGCUUGAGUUUCCCGAAUGAAAGAUGGCCCUAUGUGAGUUGCUUGCUGUUGAGCAGUGAGACUAUAGAGAUCCUUCUCUUCAGGAAAAGCUAUACCAAAUCCUUCUUGAGCAGCAGGAAUCAGAAGCAUUGACUCUUUGGAGCCAGGAAUGUAAAGGAUUGAGCAACUAUCACUGAUCAGAUCUUGGUGAAUUGAUGCAUGUAUAAAAGCAGGUAGGUGAAUUGAUGCAUGUAGAAAUCACAAUAGUUGGAAACCAAGCAAAUAGGUAGUAAUCCAGGGUGAAAGGGCAGUAUUGAGUGGAGAAUGAGAAAAAUCAAUGGCAGAAAGACUAGGCAGAAGCAUCAUAUAUAACUCAUGAAUGGAAAGAAAACAAAAUUGUCCAAUAAAAAAGGAAGAAC
rnacentral:lncRNA from 1 species